AUUUUGUGCUUCAUUUCGCUGUAGAGCGUCACGAAAGUUUCAUCCUUUUUAUUUUAAUUUAAUUUCGCCAAAACGUCGCAAUUACAUAAAAUGGUGUCUUCUAAUCAACCGAGAAAAACAAAAAUAUUUGUGGGCCGGUUACCAGAAAAUUGUCGCAACGAUGAGUUGCGACAACUAUUCUCACGGUUUGGUGAGGUGACGGAAUGCGAUGUUAUGAAUCGAUAUGGUUUCGUACACAUGGCACGAGAGGAAGAUGCAGCUGCGGCCAUCAAAGCACUCCACAAUUCAAUUUUCAAAGGGGCAACCAUCAACGUAGAGCAGUCAACUGGGAAGUCACGCGGAGGUGGUGGAGGACGCCGGGAUGGAGACAGAAGAGGCGGACCUAUGAGAGGUGGUAGAGGAGGACGAGACGGUGGUAGAGACGCUCGUCCUGGACCAUACAAUGAUAGAAGAGUUCUUCCGAUCCAACUCGUUGGUUACGAUGGAUCUGCUGCAGGUGGCGUCGCAGCUGGCUAUACCGAUUACAAUCGAGGUGCUGGGGACUUUAGUGGACGAGGGACCGACUUUGGCACUGGGUAUACCGACCGUGGAGCUUAUGGCCAGAACGUGGGAACUGCUGCGAUGGGAUAUACUUCAACAGCGCCAGGGAUGGGUGGAGGCUAUGGACCUGCUGCUGCUGUAGGAGGAUAUGGCCCGACCGGAACAGCUGAUUAUGGCAGGACUGCUGAUUAUACCCGUGCUGCUGAUUUUGGAGCGAGAACAGAUUAUGUAGUUGGAGCUGGUAUGGCAGGAGAUUUCAACCGUGGAGCACCAGGCCCAGUUGAUUAUGGUCGUACGGAUAAUUUUGGGGCAAGUCGCACAGUUGACUAUACUGCAAGAAAUGAUUAUGAUCGUGCUGCGACAGGACCAAUGAGAAAUGGAGGCGCAGCUGUUGCUGCGACAGGAUAUGGUACUGGCUAUGCUGAUGUUGGAUAUGAUGAGAGUCAUUGGCCAAUGAGUACUGGUCCCAGCUAUAGUACUGGUGCUCCCAGCUAUAAUACUGGUCCUGGACCACAAGCGGAUAUGUUUAGUAGAAGACCCGGUAGUGCCGUUCCCAGUGGUGGAUACCCACCUGUCGGUGGAGGUUAUACCGAAGGAUACGACAGACCUGAUGCAUACGGACCUCCUCCACGUGGCGGCGGCCGAUUACAAACUGGCUGAAAAGGGAAGAAACUACUCAACUUUAAGAUGAACUCAAGGAAGCUGAACUUUGAAAUGAAUACGAGGAGCAAUACCACCAUGAGUACUUACUUUACCAGAUUGUUGGAUACAUUUGGUCAUUGGAUAUGGACAACUAUACGAGCAAAUAGAAUGAAAUGUAUCAAAGACGUAAGAACAAAAUAUGAGUUUUAAGUUUUAUUUAUUUAAAGGUUUAUUUUUAAACUUCAAAUGAAAUUAACAAAUAUUUGAUUUGUUCUUUCAGUAAGUAACAAGAAAGUAUUUUAACAGUUUAUUUUAAAAUAUACUAUUAAUACAAAUGCGUGUGUUUAACAUAUCUAUCUUAGAAACAGUAGACUACCGAAGGACUGAAGAGACCUAUCACGCGACGUGGUGCAUAGUUGUAUUAGCUACCAUAGAUAUUAAAAACACGUUUAACACAGCGAGGUGGGCGGAUAUACUACAAACUAUAAAGCAGCUGCACGUUAAGGGGAUUAAGAGAAACAAAGAUGAAACUGAUUACAACUAAGCAGCAGCAGCAGUAGACGAAAGGUGACAGACAUUGAAUUCCUCGAAGGAAAAAACAAAUAAUAAA
rnacentral:misc_RNA from 1 species